rnacentral:tRNA from 1 species
GGACAGCUGGCCGAGUGGUCGAAGGCGCUCGCCUGGAACGCGGGUGUGGAGCAAUCCACCUAGGGUUCGAAUCCCUAGCUGUCCA